GCUGUGUCUCAAGAUGAAACUCAGCACCCUAUACCUAGUCUACACCCUCCUGGGUCUAAUAGUCCUAGCCAACAGCCAGGGCACCCUGCUAGAGAUGUCCCAGCAGAUGUGGACCAAGCUGCUAACCGGUGGUUUCUCCAAAACGGGUAAACUGGAUCCCUUAAAGGUCCCUGUGAUCAAGGUCGACCAGUCCGAAGGCGACACCAGUUAUCGGAUCAUCCUCAGGAACGUGGAGAUCGGAGGUCUGAAUAAAUCCACCCUAGAAAGCAUCCACAUAGCGCGAGGUCGGUUGAAGUCUAACCUGAGCGAGGUGGAGGCUGGUUAUGUAAGCUACAGUGAUCUCCGGGACCUGGACUCCAUUAGGUACCGAUUCCACACGUUGAUCAAGGAGCCCAAGGUGCAGAACGAGAGCUUUGAGGCUAUAGUCUCUGCCAGCGACCAGCACAGCAGGUUCAUGUCGGCGCCUCGAGAGCAGGAGAAGAGUUUUGAGCGUUUGCGACAGUAUGAUCCGUUUUUGAUGAAGAUACAAGCGGACAAGAUGAGGGAAGCGCCUAAAAGUGAGCAAAAGAGUCAGGAUUCUGGGGUGUUCAGCAUGGACAGCGCUAAGGUGGUGAUGAAGGACCAGAUUGUGGAGAAUAUUAGAUACCCUAGCGAUGUUCAGAUGAUCUAUGCGAUGAGCGCUUUGAACGCUGGACUGAAUCCGACCUAUGAACAGAAGUACCAGGGUAGAGCUGGGUCCGAGAGACGAGAGGACCCUAGGGAGAACCAGAGAAGAGGUUAUGUGAAUGGUAGAACCGAAGCGAGGUUCGAUGAUGUACAGACCUCGGCUUCGGAGAAUGUGGAGAGCAGGGUUAGAGGCAGUCAGAGGUUCCCUGCUUAUGUUAGGGAACAGGCUCCUCAGGACACGAGGCUGGAGAAGCAGCCGGGGUACAUUGAUAUCGUUUAUGCUGACGGGGAACAUCAUGGAGGCGUGAAGCGGUUUGGGAAUGGGAGGAUCGAGUCUAAGGAGGGUACACAGGUGUUUGGAAUGAAGGAUGUGGCCAAGGAAAUUCUAGAAGGUAAACGAACCAUCACCCACGACUGCACCUCCGGUGAGCCGUUGACGAAGAGAAACGACGCAAUCAAGGCUGCCAUAAAUUCCAACAGCAUGAGAAAUUUGACUAGGUACGCAAAAGACUAUCAGGAAAAACAAGGAUACUUCGAGGAAGGAAUGCAGCUGCUUUAUCAUUACGGCGGAAAUCCUGUGAAUGAAAAAGUUGGCCUUGGAAAGAGAUACAAACGUGCGCACAGUGAAAACGAAACUGAUGAUGAUGUGAUGCACGUGAUCUUGAAAAUACGUGUUCCUCAACUUCACAUCAAGGCGGAUUAUCAGUUGACUGGGAAAGUUGGGAAGGAAUUGGUGAGAGGAAACGGAAAACUGAAUGGCAACUUCAGCGAAGUAACAGGCGACUUCACGAUCGAACUAACAAAAGACAAGAGAGAGAACAUUUUAAUAGUACGCGCCGCCCGAAGUAAAUUAAGCGGCAAGAAGGAAAAUAUCUCCCUACAAGGUAUGGACGAGGAAGGACCAGUACAAUCGAUUCUAAAUCACGGUUUAAUGGCUGCCGAAGCGGUGGCCGCCAUGCUUGCCGAUGACCUGGCGACAAAAGCGUUGAACGACAGAACAGCCGACGCGAUGAUUUACAAAAUGUACAAAGACCUUCCUGUUAAUUAACAACCAGGAAAACUUUUCUGUGGAUUUUUUUGCCGGACGCUUAUUCUUUAUGUAAAAUAUUUACUAGUGAAUGUUUAAGGUUAGAAUUCUGGGGACCUAAGGCGGGAAAUUUGAAUAUAAUAUAAGCUCUAUUAAUUUAUUAAUGACUUGCAUGAUUCUAUUCAUAUUUAUUUAUUCUGUUAUAUUUAUCAACUAAGGAGAAAGAGUCAUUAACUUAUUAACUUGUUACUAGAAUUAUACUGAAUUUAUAUUCUGUAGAAUUUUAUCAUAUAUUGCUUGCGGCACACACAUGUUUUACAUUACAUACGUAUUAUAAGUAGCCUCUAUUUUUAACUAGUUUAAUUUUUAUAAUUAUUAAGAAAUUAUUUAUGUACUCAAUCGAAAACUUGCUCAUAUAUGAACAGAAAGCAGAGUGCAAAAUUUAUUGUAAAAAGGUGCUUUAUAGAUUUAGAAUAAUAUUUUUAUUCUCCUGUUUGUGCAUAAAUGAAAUGCAUUAUAUGAAGAUUCUUUAUAAUAAUUUUGUGAUACGGUUCUAAACGAAUAUGUGAAAUCUACAUAUAUGGCCGAAAAUGAUAUUCAUCAGAAAUUCACAAAUUUUUUAAUUGAUGCAUUAUAGAAAAGAGUUGUGAAGUAAUUUCAUAUUACUAUACACUCUAAACACAGAUAUACGUAAACUCUACAUAUAUGGCCGAAAAUGAUAUUUAUCAGAAAUUCACAAAUUCUUGUGAAUUUUUGCAUUAUAGAAAAGUGAUGUGAAGUAAUUUCAUGUUACUAUACGUUCUAAACACAGAUAUACGUAAAAUCUACAUAUAUGGCCGAAAAUGAUAUUUAUCAAAAAUUCACAAAUUUUUUAGUUGAUGCAUUAUAGAAAAGUGAUGUGAAGUAAUUUCAUGUUACUAUACGUUCUAAACACACACAUACGUAAAAUCUACAUAUAUGGCCGAAAAUGAUAUUUAUCAAGAAAUCCCAAAUUUUUGAAUUGAUGCAUUAUAGAAAAGUGAUAUGAAGUAAUUUCAUGUU